rnacentral:rRNA from 1 species
UGCUAAUACAUGCAAGUCGAGCGGACCGACGGGAGCUUGCUCCCUUAGGUCAGCGGCGGACGGGUGAGUAACACGUGGGUAACCUGCCUGUAAGACUGGGAUAACUCCGGGAAACCGGGGCUAAUACCGGAUGCUUGAUUGAACCGCAUGGUUCAAUUAUAAAAGGUGGCUUUUAGCUACCACUUACAGAUGGACCCGCGGCGCAUUAGCUAGUUGGUGAGGUAACGGCUCACCAAGGCGACGAUGCGUAGCCGACCUGAGAGGGUGAUCGGCCACACUGGGACUGAGACACGGCCCAGACUCCUACGGGAGGCAGCAGUAGGGAAUCUUCCGCAAUGGACGAAAGUCUGACGGAGCAACGCCGCGUGAGUGAUGAAGGUUUUCGGAUCGUAAAACUCUGUUGUUAGGGAAGAACAAGUACCGUUCGAAUAGGGCGGUACCUUGACGGUACCUAACCAGAAAGCCACGGCUAACUACGUGCCAGCAGCCGCGGUAAUACGUAGGUGGCAAGCGUUGUCCGGAAUUAUUGGGCGUAAAGCGCGCGCAGGCGGUUUCUUAAGUCUGAUGUGAAAGCCCCCGGCUCAACCGGGGAGGGUCAUUGGAAACUGGGGAACUUGAGUGCAGAAGAGGAGAGUGGAAUUCCACGUGUAGCGGUGAAAUGCGUAGAGAUGUGGAGGAACACCAGUGGCGAAGGCGACUCUCUGGUCUGUAACUGACGCUGAGGCGCGAAAGCGUGGGGAGCGAACAGGAUUAGAUACCCUGGUAGUCCACGCCGGAAAACGAUGAGUGCUAAGUGUUAGAGGGUUUCCGCCCUUUUAGGGCUGCAGCAAACGCAUUAAGCACUCCGCCUGGGGGAGUACGGGCGCAAGACUGAAAACUCAAAGGAAAUUGAAGGGGUCCCGCACAAACUUUGGACCAUUAGUUUCUAGUUCAAAGCUGCCCCCAGAAUCUUUACCGGGCUUGAGAUCCCUCUGAUAACCCUAGAGAUUAGGGUGUUCCCCUCUCCGGGGGGGGGAC